rnacentral:lncRNA from 1 species
AGUGUCAGCUCUCUAGCUGCCCACCCCUCUCCUGGGUUUCAAGGCAUCCAGAGCCAGGGGACUGGGGACACCUGAGCUGUAAGAUUAGGAAGCUGCCACCUGCCUCCAGUUAAGUGGGGUUUGACCCAAAAAUUUGGCUUCUGUGGUCUUGGAAUUGAGGGUCAGGGUAAAGCCUUAGCCAACGGAGGCCCACAUUCCUACCUUCUCACUUUUUGGGUAAAUCGGUGUACCCAUUUUUCUGCAGGAUAGAGGAAGGUAAACACAGAGACCAAAGGCAAGGAAACGGCUUGAUAUGAACUCAACUGCCCUGCUUCCUCAAUUCUUGGAGACAAGAUUUCACUUAUCUCAGGCUGGCCUCGGAUGUGAUAUGUAGCAGAGGAACUUCCUGAAUUUCUGAUACCCCUUCCUCCUCUCCCAGAGCUGUGGUGUUACAUACAGCCCUCCUGUCUCAACAGGCUCUUAGGAUUCUUAAAUAACAAGACAACACUAUGAGGAAGUAGAGAUAUUGAGGUGUGCCCAGGGGAAGAUAGAGGCACCUAGAGACAGAAAGCAAGCCAUGGAAGAGGUGAGCGACAAAUCGUACAGAAAGAAAGUGGCAAGACCCAGAGGGACAAGGCUGGUGCACACAUGUAUAUCUGUGUUUCUUUUUGGGUAUUUGGUGCUGGUUUGUGUAUUCAUUCAUUCAUUCAUUCAUUCAUGUGCUCUGUGUGUCAUUUUGGAGUUCUGGGCAUCAAGCCCAGAAUUUUGUGAAUGGGAAGCAUGCACUCUUCUAUCACUGAGCUACAUCCCUUGAUUUGUAUUUGUGAUAAAUUGUAAUAAAUAAAUAAACAAACACAGUGUUUUCCCCCC